CUACUGUCAUGGCAGAGCAACAGUCUGAAGACGAUCUAUCUGGAAAAUUGCUGAAAAGAGAAUCAGAUGCUUAAAAUAAGGCAGAUGAACUUCUGGUUGUGUGUUGCCGGCGUAAUUCCUGUGCAGAGUCAACUUGUUUCAUGGAUGAUGAAGAGGAAAGAUUGGAUCAAACUUUACACAAAUUAGGAAAAGGAAACAAAUGAAUUGAAGUGUCAGGGGUUGAUGUCGCUGGGCAAAAGAGGUCACGGACUGCUGAUUCUCCAGAGCUAUCUUCAGGACCAAAAGUGCCCACAGAUGACGAAACCCCCCAUAUCCUACGGAAUCUAUGUAAUCCAAGAUCAUUAAACCGAUGCACAAACACUGCCUGCAAUUUCAUCGCCUGAUAGGGCAGCGAGGCAACAAGUCAGAGAACGGGUUUGCUGUCAGAUUCGUCCCAUGGCUCAAGAAUCACUGCUUUAUUAGGUCUACUUUUAAAGUCUUCCAAGAUAACAAAUCCCCAAGAAGCAGACAUUGAGCUGAAGCAUGAGAGAGCAGAUGCUGUUUUAGUCAUGUGCCCAGGGGCUAUGCACUUCUGACAAUGAAAACCUCAGAAUAUUCCAGUGACAAUAUCCUACAGGAAGUGACACCAUUUUGGAGGAACUCAACAAAACACACCUG